rnacentral:lncRNA from 1 species
CACUUUAACUUGUACUGUUGAACCAGGGUUACACUUCAAUAAUUCAUGUGCAUAGUCAUGAAUUCUCUUGAACUAAUUUUUGAAACUACUUUCAAGUUUCUCAGAUGCCAUUAUCUUUGCCCUAUGAGCUUUAGAAAGGGUGACAUUGGUAUUCCAUUUCCUCAAAGCUUUUGAGCGUAUUUCAUUUAUCUUCAAAUCUGGAUUUUGCUGCAUUGAAUUAUCCAAUGUGUCACUCAACCACUUAGCAUUCAUCAUUUUAAUGUUGAAUUGCCUACUGCAACUAUGGUUANCCACUACCUUUCUCAAUUGCCAUGUACUACAUCCUUCCAUAUACCCACAAUAAGCCAUCCAAGGACAACUCUUUUGGGCACCCAAACAUCUCACUCGUACCCGUNN